UCCGUAGGUGAACCUGCGGAGGGAUCAUUACCGAGUUUACAACUCCCAAACCCAAUGUGAACCAUACCAAACUGUUGCCUCGGCGGGGUCACGCCCCGGGUGCGUCGCAGCCCCGGAACCAGGCGCCCGCCGGAGGGACCAACCAAACUCUUUCUGUAGUCCCCUCGCGGACGUUAUUUCUUACAGCUCUGAGCAAAAAUUCAAAAUGAAUCAAAACUUUCAACAACGGAUCUCUUGGUUCUGGCAUCGAUGAAGAACGCAGCGAAAUGCGAUAAGUAAUGUGAAUUGCAGAAUUCAGUGAAUCAUCGAAUCUUUGAACGCACAUUGCGCCCGCCAGUAUUCUGGCGGGCAUGCCUGUCCGAGCGUCAUUUCAACCCUCGAACCCCUCCGGGGGGUCGGCGUUGGGGAUCGGGAACCCCUAAGACGGGAUCCCGGCCCCGAAAUACAGUGGCGGUCUCGCCGCAGCCUCUCCUGCGCAGUAGUUUGCACAACUCGCACCGGGAGCGCGGCGCGUCCACGUCCGUAAAACACCCAACUUCUGAAAUGUUGACCUCGGAUCAGGUAGGAAUACCCGCUGAACUUAAGCAUAUCAAUAAGCGGAGGAA
rnacentral:rRNA from 1 species